rnacentral:rRNA from 1 species
UUGGUUAAGUGUGCGUAGGCGGUUUCAUAAGCUUGAUGUGAAAGCCCCGGCGUUAACCUGGGAAGUGGCAUUGAGGACUGUGGAGCUGGAGUGCGGCAGAGGGAGGUGGAAUUCCACGUGUAGCAGUGAAAUGCGUAGAGAUGUGGAGGAACACCGAUGGCGAAGGCAGCCUCCUGGGCCGACACUGACGCUGAGGGCACGAAAGCGUGGGAGCAAAACAGGAUUAGAUACCCCUAGUA